rnacentral:rRNA from 1 species
UACGGAAGGCAGCAGUGGGGAAUAUUGCACAAUGGGCGAAAGCCUGAUGCAGCUAUGCCGCGUGUAUGAAGAAGGCCUUAGGGUUGUAAAGUACUUUCAUCGGGGAGGAAAAAACAAAACUAAUAAUUUUAUUUCUUGACGUUACCCGAAAAAGAAGCACCGGCUAACUCCGUGCCAGCAGCCGCGGUAAUACGGAGGGUGCUAGCAUUAAUCAGAAUUACUGGGCGUAAAGAGCACGUAGGUGGUUUUUUUAAGUUCAGAUGUGAAAUCCCUGGGCUUAACCUGGAACUGCAUUUUGAAACUGAAAUACUAGAGUAUCGUAGAGGGAGGUAGAAUUCUAGGUGUAGCGGUGAAAUGCGUAGAUAUCUGGAGGAAUACCUGUGGCGAAAGCGGGCCUCCUAAACGAAUACUGACACUGAGGUGCGAAAGCGUGGGGAGCAAACGAGGAUUAGAUACC